rnacentral:rRNA from 1 species
ACUCAAAUGAAUUGACGGGGGCCCGCACAAGCGGUGGAGCAUGUGGUUUAAUUCGAUGCAACGCGAACAACCUUACCUACCCUUGAAUCCUUGGAAUUUGGUAGAGAUAUCGAAGUGCCUUCGGGAACCAAGAGACAGGUGCUGCAUGGCUGUCGUCAGCUCGUGUCGUGAGAUGUUGGGUUAAGUCCCGUAACGAGCGCAACCCUUAUCCUUAGUUGCUAGCAGGUUAAGCUGAGAACUCUAGGGAGACUGCCGGUGAUAAACCGGAGGAAGGCAGGGACGACGUCAAGUCAUCAUGGCCCAUACGGGUAGGGCUACACACGUGCUACAAUGGCCGGUACAAAAGGCUGCGAAGUCGCGAGAUGGAGCUAAUCCUAUAAAGCCGGUCUUAGUCCGGAUUGGAGUCUGCAACUCGACUCCAUGAAGCUGGAAUCGCUAGUAAUCGUGGAUCAGCACGCCACGGUGAAUACGUUCCCGGGCCUUGUACACACCGCCCGU